GUUUGUUUUUUCGAUUUUAAAUUCAAAACUCAUUACAGAUUAUUAUGGUCUGCUGUUACUGUAAAUACGUGAAUAAGGUCGAAGAGUCAGACUCUCUGGUCUGCCGGGUCACACACUGACCCAAAGGUUAACUCACUUAGCCCCCGUUCACGCGUGUGUUGUCCGUGGACUGUGCCUCUUAUUUGUUGAUGUUUGACUCUUGAAAUCACAUCACAGAGAAUAACAACAUGCACACCAGUGUUAGCCAAACACAAAUACGCAGAGGAAGAAUGGACUUACACACGGACACACACACACACAUAUACACUGUUCCUCCCAACAAUGACCCCUUCUGUCCGCGACAUGCGGCACACUGGUCCCCAAUCAUCCAGCCCAAUCCCAAAAAAUCAGCUCUUUUCCAUGAUGCCUGAAUGUUAACUGUGAUAAGCGGGAGAGUGAGUGCAUCUCAUUGUGCCUCCGUGCCUUCAGUGCGCCCUUUGUUUUUUAAGGCCCUAUCUCAGAGAAGGACCCGCGGCCCGCAGCCCUGCUGACACCGACUCCGACUGAUGGAGCUCGUCACCGCGGGGAGGUGCAGAGACACUGACGGCGGUGCAGCUGAGGAUCCACCGCCAGGCCUCGCUCUGACGUUUCCAUCUUCAUUGGCGUCGCCCUGGACUGGCUCCAUCCACCUACAAACAUUUUUGGACCCUGUAACUGUACACCAGUAAUCCGGCCACGGGCAGGCAGGUGGAAAGGAAGCUCAGGCUCAAAGUUGGCUGAAGAGUUUGGAGGAUGAGAGGCUCUGAUGAAAGAGGGGUAUGUCUGAAAUUAGGGUUUGUGGAUAAAUCCAAGGUAUUUAUCCUGCGCUGACUGUGAGAAGAGACUUCAAGUUAUACUAUUGGUCAGGGCUUUGUGUGUUUUAUAUAUGUUUAGAUGAAGAAGAGGAGAUGAAAAUAUAAAGAAGCCUAUCUGAAAAAAACUCAAAAAUUCAGGACGGACCCUAAGGUCUCUGACCAAAUUAAUACAACUAUGGUAAGUAGACUAAUUGAAUUCAAAUGUUUUUAUAUAUAUUUAUAUAAUUCUCUAGAGCAGCGGUUCCCAAAGUGGGGGGCAGGCCCCUUCUUUGUGCCAAAGUGUUUAACAUAGAAUAUCUUUAUUUGGAGGAAAUGAAGUAGAGGCACAAGAGAAUAAUCAAUCACAGGGGAGAGAUGAGGGAUGGAAGUGGGCGGGAUAAUUAUACACACACACACACACACGCCAUAAUUAGCAUGCUAACAGGCAGUUAAAUGUCCCACACAAAGGGUCACUGUUGAGUGUGGUUGUUCACUUUGGAGACAAUGCACAAAAGUAGUGAAAGUUCCCGAAUCUGCCUGUAGCUAAUGUGGCCCCGAACGACUUUUUACCAUUUUACAUUUCCAUCCCUGUCACUCCUCCAUUCAGUCGCUGACUGGCUAAUGAAAAGAUGAUAGCCUGGAGGCCUGCAGUGACUGACCAGCUCGACCCUUCCCUCCCAAAUCUUUCCCCUUUUUUGCCCUUUUAUGAGGAGACAGAAAAGACUCCCCUCUGAGGUUCCCAGGUCCAAAGUGUCCUCAGGGUCAGACAGAGCGACAGAAAUAGACAGGCAUGCAUUUAGAUUAA